rnacentral:rRNA from 1 species
CCCGCACAAGCGGUGGAGCAUGUGGUUAAUUCGAAGCAACGCGAAGAACCUUACCAGGCCUUGACAUGCAGAGAACUUUCCAGAGAUGGAUUGGUGCCUUCGGGAACUCUGACACAGGUGCUGCAUGGCUGUCGUCAGCUCGUGUCGUGAGAUGUUGGGUUAAGUCCCGUAACGAGCGCAACCCUUGUCCUUAGUUACCAGCACGUUAAGGUGGGGCACUCUAAGGAGACUGCCGGUGACAAAACCGGAGGGAAGGUGGGGGAUGACGUCAAGUCAUCAUGGCCCUUACGGCCUGGGCUACACACGUGCUACAAUGGUCGGUACAAAGGGUUGCCAAGCCGCGAGGUGGAGCUAAUCCCAUAAAACCGAUCGUAGUCCGGAUCGCAGUCUGCAACUCGACUGCGUGAAGUCGGAAUCGCUAGUAAUCGUGAAUCAGAAUGUCACGGUGAAUACGUUCCCGGGCCUU